AGCGAACGCUGGCGGCGUGCCUAACACAUGCAAGUCGAACGCGAAAGGGGGGGCAACUCCCCGAGUAGAGUGGCGCACGGGUGAGUAACGCGUGGGUCAUCUGCCUUCGAGUGGGGAAUAACCUCGCGAAAGCGGGGCUAAUACCGCAUAACAUCCUCCAGUCUUCGGACAGGGGGAUCAAAGAUGACCUCUGCAUGCAAGUUGUCGCUCGAAGAGGAGCCCGCGUCCCAUUAGCUAGUUGGUAGGGUGACGGCCUACCAAGGCGACGAUGGGUAGCCGGCCUGAGAGGGUGACCGGCCACACUGGAACUGAGACACGGUCCAGACUCCUACGGGAGGCAGCAGUGAGGAAUAUUGCGCAAUGGGCGAAAGCCUGACGCAGCGACGCCGCGUGGAGGAUGAAGGCCUUCGGGUCGUAAACUCCUGUCGAGGGGGACGAAAUGGCUCCUUGCUAAUAUCGAGGAGCCUUGACUGUACCCCUGGAGGAAGCCCCGGCUAACUCCGUGCCAGCCGCCGCCGUAAUAC
rnacentral:rRNA from 1 species